UCCUGCUAAACCACCUUGUGUACCAGGUGUAGCUAAAAGGUCUUUAAAUCAUAUCAUGGAGUAUUCAGAAGAAAACACAAACCUGCACUUUAUUAUUUUUUUACAUUUACUAUUUAAAACUAAGAGAAUAUUGUGGGAAAAACCUAAGUGAUCCUUGUAGGGAAGUGGACCAUUUCUCCAAUAAAAUCGUUACACACAACAGGUAUUUUUUUUAUUAAAAACCUGAAAAGCUGUGCAAUUCAAAGGUCUUUGGUUAUCUGAAAUGGAGCUGUUUCUUCAGUUUUGUACAGUUUACUCCAGUUGGUUGUUUUUUGUACUUCAAGGCCACAAUAGAAAGGAAGGACACAUACACAAGCAUAUUGGACUCAGUACUUAUGGGGAAAACUUUGCCACCGGCAUGCAGGCAGUAAGGCACUAGAUGAAACAUCUUAUUAGGAGGGAAUGGGAACCAGGUGGACCUGAGCUGAGCCAGGUCUUCUAUUAACCUGUCCUUCCAGGGGAGAGGCUCGUAAACAAAGCCGAGAUGGCAGGAAAUGCGGGGGGAGCGGGGGAGGAGGUGGAGGGAGAUGAGGAGGUAAAGCGAAGGCCUUCGUGAGGCACAGAGAGGUCGGUAUAUGAAGGAGGGGGGCCACCACAGGGACAGCAUUUGUCCCUUCAAAGGAAACAGGAGAGAGCAUUGAUCUCUAUGAUCCCUCUGAUGUUGAAGACAUGAACACAAAAAGGUACUAACGCGCAGAGACACUCUGGACGACAAGCUGUCAUACUCUUUUAAGUUUCUACGUUGGGAGAUGAAUUGUUUUGCGGAGUGAAGAUGAAUCUAUCCCCUAGCCUGUGGCUAGGACUUUUUAGGGCCAAUAAAAAUCGCUCAAACAAACCCGUGAUUGAUUUCAAGCAACUGGAAAUGACAGCCUCAUAGUUCUGCACAUCUAUUGCUUAGCGGGAUGCUUCCAAUUCAGAUGUCUCCUGCGCUAAUAUGCCAACAGACACAGGCACACACACACACAUACAUAAUAGAGCCUCAAGGAAAUGGGUUAAUAUGUGUCCCAGACCAAAAAAGGGGGCAUUUCAGUCUACACUGUUUGACUUGAGUCACAACAGUAAAAAAAACCAACACACACUUGAGCAAACAGACAUGUAAAUAUUGUCAAGGCUGUUGAAUGCAAAACCAAGGCUUUUGUUUCCUUUGUGGUACUUUUGUAGAUGAAGAGAACAAACAUGGCAGAGCUCAGAAAUUUGGAUGGAAUGGAUAUACAGCGAGCCGGGAGAGAAAUGAGGACACUGAUGGAGAUGAGGAGCGAAAUGGAAAACAAAGGUCCUCUCCUCUCGCCCCCGCAGCCUCCUGAGCACAGCUGUCUACAUGGCUGGGCUGUUUUCACUGACAGCCUGUGAGAGCCAUGAAACAGGAGGGCACCAGGGACCUGGGCCACCUCGACAACAUGCGCCCCCACAAUCUGCUGUUCACAGUAGGCAAACAACAAUGAACAAUGUGGGAUCUGUCGCAUUCUUCCCAUGGGAGAGGACUUCUAACAGCAUCUUCUAUUAGGUUUGGAGAGGAAAGAAGAAAAGAAAAGAGGAACACCCCCACUAUACAAACAAAAUCAAAGGUCCUCAAGCCUGUGAAGAGAGCAAACAUCCACUGACCUGCAUUUAAUAUGAAGAACCAUUGAUGGAGAUGGGAGCUGGAACUAUGCGUGAUUUUUUUUUUUUUUUACAGCAUUCAUGGGCUGUGCAUGUUAAGGCUGUCAGCUAUGUCUUCUCUAACAUCCUGAGGUAUCGAAGGCAGAUUAUUCAGCAGAAACAGUCUGAAGUAACGUUGUGUGCCGGAAUGCCGUCAUGUGCCAGCACACAGUGCACUGAAAACACAAGGAGAUUUUUGGGCAUACUAAUGCAAUCUUAGUUCACCAUGUACCCUAUUCUCCAGAUUUGACUUCCUGUGACUUUAUCCAAAUAUGAAUAUCAAGGUGAAGGAUCAGUGGUGUUUCAGCACACAUGCCAGAGUCACAAGUAAAAGUAGCAGCCACACAGCUCAGAGGUAGAAAAGAGCAUUUCUAAAUACUUGCACAUAUCGAAGAGACAAUAUUUGUAUUUGCUAAGGACUGGAAGCUGGGCUCCCUAAAACUGUUUUCUUUUUGCUUGUUUUUGGUUUUGCUUUUGUUUGUUUUUUUCUAUCUACAAGAUAUUUUGCAGUGUGCAGUGUUACAUGUCUUUCACAUAUGCAUGCACUAUUACAUACUAUGGUUGUUUAAGUUAAAUAAAGACAAGCAGUCACAAAGUGCACAACUGACAAGAGGUGAAAAUUCAUGUUGGUUCAUGUCAAAAUGUUUGAAUUUACAGUGUAUAUGACACAGUUUAGGAACAAACUGGUAGUUGCCACAAAUCAAGCAAGGUUUAUGAUUAACUGGUUUUAUGAUUAACUAUCAAAGGUCGUCCAUAAUUUCUCCUAGAUAAGUACAUGUAUGAAAGGAUUAAAUUUCUUUUUUCCCGCUAUACUGACCGAUAUUACUUUUUUUUCACAUGUAAAGACAGGAAAUUGUAUAUAAUUAUUAUCUUUCUGGCCUAAAAUGAAAUGCAGUGAAAUGGGAAUUAUAUUAAAGUGUAAUUAGUGCUAUGGUCAAAAGCGUCAGGUACUGUGUGCAUAUGCAUACCUGCAGAAUAAUGCUGUCUAGAUGCAAGGAUGGUCAGAAAUAGGUCAUGGUUCAGUGGCAGCACACUGUGCUUGUCAAAAGCGAAAUCACUAUAUGCGUGCAUGUGUAGCUGUUGUCAUUAAUAUGCAGAAGUGAAACCUUGCUGCUGUUCCUGAGCCUUGUUAGCUCGGUGUGAUGGCCCGAGUAGCAGGUUCACAACAGACAUAAACACUUGAUGACUAACUCCAUCCUACAUGCUUCCUAUAUGAGCUUUGCAAUUCAUAGAAGUAGAAAGGGCUGUAAGGGUCAAACUACAAAGAUAGGAGUGGGAGAAUAUGACCAGGAAAUGAAGAGUUGGAGGAAUAAAGAAUGUAGGAAAUGAACUGAGAAACAGGGGUAUUACUAAAACAAUAAUGACUUCCCUAAUUGUGUUUCCUAUGGCCCCUAUGAGUGUGGUGACAUUUCAGUUCUGUGUUUGUCGGUCAAAAGAUGAGCUAAUUAAGAUGGUAAUUUAGCCUCAACGCCUCCAGUGACAACCACACCCCCUCGUUAGCAGCCACAAGGACAAGGGUCGGAUGCACCGGGAGAAAGAGACAGAGAGAGACAGGCAGAAAGAAAGAGAGAAGCAGUUUUUUUCUGGCUUUGCCUUCUCAGCAGCCCGGAGUCAUACGACUCUGUCGCUGUAACAGGAACAAGUGAUUAUUUCUGAAAAAUGGGGAACUUUGUCAAAACGUAUCCCACCCACACUCUCUCUUUCUGGCUCUCUCACACACACGAGCACAAACUUUCAUGUUGAGCAUGCGUAGGCACAUACAUGCAUUGGUGGGUAUAAACACACACAGCUGUGCAAAUAUGCAAACACACACUUUCGCGCACACAUACACACAAAUAUACUGGCCACUUUAUUAAGUACACCUGGCUAGUACUGGGUUGGGCCCCCUUUUGUCUUCAGAAUUGCUUUACUUCCUUGUAGCAAGCAGCACAAAGUGAAGUAAACAUUCCUCAGAGAUUUGGAUCCAUAUUAGCAUGACAGCAUCACAUAGUUGCUGCAUAUUUGUCAGCUGUACACACAUGAUGUGAGUCUCCUGUUCCACCACAUCCAAAAAGUGGUGGAUUGAGAUUUGCUGACUGUGAAGGGCAUUUAAGUACAGUGUGUGGUUUUGUUUGUGAUAUACCACACUGGCGUCAAAAGAUGGCUAAACAUCCAAAAGAUAUGGUCAGCAACAAAAGUCUGGUAGAUUCUGUGUUUAAACAUUGUUAUUACUUAUAGGCUGGACUAUUGUGAAUCAUUAUAAUCAUGAUGUUCUAAUACGAAAUGGUUAUGAUUCUGCCUGAGGUCUUUUCCUUUUAAAAGGGAGUUUUUCUUUCCCACUGUCACCAACUGCUUGUUCAUAGGAGGUUCUCUUAUGAUGGGUGCUUCCUUACUAAUUUGAGGUGUUCUUGUAUAAAUAAACUGAAAUUAAAUGAAUUACAUUAAGUCUAAAUAGGAGAAAUUA